UACAGAGGUCCCAAGCGUUGUUCGGAUUCACUGGGCGUAAAGGGUGCGUAGGCGGCAUGAUAAGUUUGUUGUGAAAUCUCCAAGCUUAACUUGGAAAAUGCAAUGAAUACUGUUGUGCUAGAGUUUUGUAGGGGGGACUGGAAUUCUCGGUGUAGCAGUGAAAUGCGUAGAUAUCGAGAGGAACACCAGUGGCGAAGGCGAGUCCCUGGACAAAUACUGACGCUGAGGCACGAAAGCUAGGGGAGCAAACAGG
rnacentral:rRNA from 1 species